GAGAUGAGUCUUCCCUGAUACUUUAAGUAUCCUAAAGGGUUGUUCGAGACUAGAACGUUGAUAGGCAGGGUGUGUAAGCGCUGUGAGGCGUUGAGCUAACCUGUACUAAUUGCCCGUGAGGCUUAACCAUACAACACCCAAAGGGUUUUG
rnacentral:rRNA from 1 species